rnacentral:rRNA from 1 species
GACGAACGCUGGCGGCGUGCUUAACACAUGCAAGUCGAACGGAAAGGCCCUGCUUUUGUGGGGUGCUCGAGUGGCGAACGGGUGAGUAACACGUGAGUAACCUGCCCUUGACUUUGGGAUAACUUCAGGAAACUGGGGCUAAUACCGGAUAGGAGCUCCUGCUGCAUGGUGGGGGUAGGAAAGUUUCGGCGGUUGGGGAUGGACUCGCGGCUUAUCAGCUUGGUGGUGGGGUAGUGGCUUACCAAGGCUUUGACGGGUAGCCGGCCUGAGAGGGUGACCGGCCACAUUGGGACUGAGAUACGGCCCAGACUCCUACGGGAGGCAGCAGUGGGGAAUAUUGCACAAUGGGCGGAAGCCUGAUGCAGCAACGCCGCGUGCGGGAUGACGGCCUUCGGGUUGUAAACCGCUUGCGCCUGUGACGAAGCGUGAGUGACGGUAAUGGGUAAAGAAGCACCGGCUAACUACGUG